UGUAGGUAGUCUUGAGGGAUGGUGUGUGUGUGUGUAGGUGGUCUUGAGGGAUGAUGUGUGUGUGUGUGUGUAGGUAGUCUUGAGGGAUGAUGUGUGUGUGUGUGUGUAGGUAGUCUUGAGGGAUGAUGUGUGUGUGUGUGUAGGUAGUCUUGAGGGAUGAUGUGUGUGUGUGUGUAGGUAGUCUUGAGGGAUGAUGUGUGUGUGUGUGUAGGUAGUCUUGAGGGAUGAUGUGUGUGUGUGUGUAGGUAGUCUUGAGGGAUGAUGUGUGUGUGUGUGUAGGUAGUCUUGAGGGAUGAUGUGUGUGUGUGUGUAGGUAGUCUUGAGGGAUGAUGUGUGUGUGUGUGUAGGUAGUCUUGAGGGAUGAUGUGUGUGUGUGUGUAGGUAGUCUUGAGGGAUGAUGUGUGUGUGUGUGUGUAGGUAGUCUUGAGGGAUGAUGUGUGUGUGUGUGUAGGUAGUCUUGAGGGAUGAUGUGU